rnacentral:rRNA from 1 species
UACGAAGGGGGCUAGGCGUUGCUCGGAAUCACUGGGCGUAAAGCGCACGUAGGCGGACUCUUAAGUCGGUGGUGAAAUCCUGGAGCUCAACUCCAGAACUGCCUUCGAUACUGAGAGUCUCGAGUCCGGGAGAGGUGAGUGGAACUGCGAGUGUAGAGGUGAAAUUCGUAGAUAUUCGCAAGAACACCAGUGGCGAAGGCGGCUCACUGGCCCGGUACUGACGCUGAGGUGCGAAAGCGUGGGGAGCAAACAGG